rnacentral:misc_RNA from 1 species
AACGCACCUUGCACCCUUUGGUAUUCCGAAGGGUACACCCGUUUGAGUGUCAUUGUAAUCUCACUACAACCGUCUUUUUGUUGUGUUGUAUGUGGACUUGGAUGUUGCCGUGUAACAAACGGCUCAUCUGAAAUGCCUGAGUGUACCCUGCUUUGCGGCGUAUUCGGUGUGAUAAAUCUUCACCGGAGUUUGACUCUUGGGUCGCGUCCGCUUGACAUGGCUCUAUGCUUCCAACCGUCCUGACAAGACAAUCUUUGACAAUUUGACCUCAAAUCGGGUGGGACUACCCGCUGAACUUAA